rnacentral:rRNA from 1 species
GCAAGUCGAACGGUAACAGGCAGAGCUUGCCCUGCGCUGACGAGUGGCGGACGGGUGCGUAACGCGUGGGAAUCUACCUUAUAGUGGGGGAUAGCCCGGAGAAAUCCGGAUUAAUACCGCAUAAGCCCUACGGGGGAAAAGGGGCCUCUCCUUGGAAGCUCUUGCUAUUAGAUGAGCCCGCGUAAGAUUAGCUUGUUGGUGAGGUAAUGGCUCACCAAGGCUACGAUCUUUAGCUGGUUUGAGAGGAUGAUC